UAAAAAAGUUACUAGGAGGCUGUUAAUUGAUCCCAGUGGGAACAGGCAACCAAUGAGAAAACGAAAGUUAAGUCGAUCCCACCAAUAGCGGUUCAAAGGUAUGUUAUCAGUUUUCCGUUAAAAGAAGAAGGGAAAAACGUGAUGGCAGGUUAAUUAGAAAACACGAGUUUCAAGAUUCAAAGAAAAAUUCAAGCUCUCUAUGGUAUACAGUGAAGUUAGAAAUAUUGUACGAAGUGAAACAAUAAUUUUCUUCUUUUGCCUUCUACGGAUUGGACAAGUUGAAACUAUUGUUUAGCCUUUUGUUCUGUUCAUUCAACGAACAAUCGAUAGAAAAAGUAAAUGAGAUCGAUUUCAUGAAUAAUAUUUUUCUGGAUUCCCUUUCUCAUUAACGGCAAAUUUGAUUCGAAUAUAUAAACCAUCAUUAAAUAGAAUCUUUCAUAAAUAAAGAUGAAAUUUGAAGAAAAUUUGUUUAACAGAGCAAUUAGAUUGAUUUUAUCGAUGACUUCAAGAGGUUAUGUAUCAUGUUUUACAUCUUCAGCUAGAUACCAUACUAGAUAAAAUCAUUUUGUGAUAACAAAUGACAGCAAAUUUGUUGGCAAGCUCCUCCGAAAUCCCUAGCUUGUCCACAGACUUAAUUGCAGAAUAUUACCUCUCCUAAACUACUUCAUCUCAACACACAUACCACAACUUAACACACACUUAAUAUAUUAAGAGCUUGGUAUAUUUAUGGAGAAUUGAUAAAACAAGAUAGAAAUAAAUAAAUAUUCUAGGAAAAGUCAAUUUACAAUUUUCAUGAUUUAUCCCGAAAAUGAGUCGAAUUUUGAUGUCAACAGUUGGUAGAAGUGUCUCCGGCCUGAGAGAGUUUCGAUGGCACUACUACGAAAUUUCACUGGAUGGCUAACGCUGGUCUAGCUAGUCACUUUGCCAACUUGCUUUGAGCGGUUGUUCGUUGGAAUAUUAUUCGGUGUAGUGGUCACUUCCUAUUUCGAAGUCCGAAUUUAUGUGAAAUUAACCGAAAUUGGAAAAUUUCAUUAAUGGAAAAUGGUAAUUUUAUUAGAGGUUAAUAAUAUAAUAUAUGUAAUAAUUAAAACCAUUUGCGUUUGAGGUCGUUUGAUUAAAAUUUAAUAGACACAAAAAAAAAAUGGCUGAAUUAUCUAGCCCACUAAGAGACUAUCUAAGACAAAUUCUAUUAAAAAAAAAAUUCUAUUAAAAAGAAAAUUAAUUUCAUUAUAAUAUUUUUAAAUUUUAAAUGCCAAUAUAUUGAAUAAAUGAACUUUAAUUAAUAAAUAACAAUAAUGAAUGUUAAAGAUAAAUAAACGGAAGGAAAUUAAUACAAAGAACAAGUUUCAACGAAGAUAAAAUCGCUAAUUUUUAAUAAUUGGAAUUAUAAUAAUAACGACUAUUGAUUAUCCAUAUUUCAUAUUUUAUCGAUAUAUCGAUAGCAUCGUUAAAAUAUCGUUAAGGGAUAAAAGUAAAGUAACUAAAAAAAGUAACUAGAAUUUUUAUUUUUAUUUUCUUAGAAAUCAUUAAAACACGUAAUAAAUAACAUUAGAUAUGUUAUACUUAGAAUUGCUCGAUUCUUUCUGAAUUAUAUCCUUCUAUCACAAAGCGUGAAAUAAAAGAAUUGUAGAUGGGCCGUGAAAAAAA
rnacentral:lncRNA from 1 species